rnacentral:rRNA from 1 species
UUAAGCGACUAAGCGUACACGGUGGAUGCCCUGGCAGUCAGAGGCGAUGAAGGACGUGCUAAUCUGCGAUAAGCGUCGGUAAGGUGAUAUGAACCGUUAUAACCGGCGAUUUCCGAAUGGGGAAACCCAGUGUGAUUCGUCACACUAUCAUUAACUGAAUCCAUAGGUUAAUGAGGCGAACCGGGGGAACUGAAACAUCUAAGUACCCCGAGGAAAAGAAAUCAACCGAGAUUCCCCCAGUAGCGGCGAGCGAACGGGGAGCAGCCCAGAGCCUGAAUCAGUGUGUGUGUUAGUGGAAGCGUCUGGAAAGGCGCGCGAUACAGGGUGACAGCCCCGUACACAAAAAUGCACAUGCUGUGAGCUCGAUGAGUAGGGCGGGACACGUGGUAUCCUGUCUGAAUAUGGGGGGACCAUCCUCCAAGGCUAAAUACUCCUGACUGACCGAUAGUGAACCAGUACCGUGAGGGAAAGGCGAAAAGAACCCCGGCGAGGGGAGUGAAAAAGAACCUGAAACCGUGUACGUACAAGCAGUGGGAGCACAGAGCAAUCUGUGUGACUGCGUACCUUUUGUAUAAUGGGUCAGCGACUUAUAUUCUGUAGCAAGGUUAACCGAAUAGGGGAGCCGAAGGGAAACCGAGUCUUAACUGGGCGUUAAGUUGCAGGGUAUAGACCCGAAACCCGGUGAUCUAGCCAUGGGCAGGUUGAAGGUUGGGUAACACUAACUGGAGGACCGAACCGACUAAUGUUGAAAAAUUAGCGGAUGACUUGUGGCUGGGGGUGAAAGGCCAAUCAAACCGGGAGAUAGCUGGUUCUCCCCGAAAGCUAUUUAGGUAGCGCCUCGUGAAUUCAUCUCCGGGGGUAGAGCACUGUUUCGGCAAGGGGGUCAUCCCGACUUACCAACCCGAUGCAAACUGCGAAUACCGGAGAAUGUUAUCACGGGAGACACACGGCGGGUGCUAACGUCCGUCGUGAAGAGGGAAACAACCCAGACCGCCAGCUAAGGUCCCAAAGUCAUGGUUAAGUGGGAAACGAUGUGGGAAGGCCCAGACAGCCAGGAUGUUGGCUUAGAAGCAGCCAUCAUUUAAAGAAAGCGUAAUAGCUCACUGGUCGAGUCGGCCUGCGCGGAAGAUGUAACGGGGCUAAACCAUGCACCGAAGCUGCGGCAGCGACGCUUAUGCGUUGUUGGGUAGGGGAGCGUUCUGUAAGCCUGCGAAGGUGUGCUGUGAGGCAUGCUGGAGGUAUCAGAAGUGCGAAUGCUGACAUAAGUAACGAUAAAGCGGGUGAAAAGCCCGCUCGCCGGAAGACCAAGGGUUCCUGUCCAACGUUAAUCGGGGCAGGGUGAGUCGACCCCUAAGGCGAGGCCGAAAGGCGUAGUCGAUGGGAAACAGGUUAAUAUUCCUGUACUUGGUGUUACUGCGAAGGGGGGACGGAGAAGGCUAUGUUGGCCGGGCGACGGUUGUCCCGGUUUAAGCGUGUAGGCUGGUUUUCCAGGCAAAUCCGGAAAAUCAAGGCUGAGGCGUGAUGACGAGGCACUACGGUGCUGAAGCAACAAAUGCCCUGCUUCCAGGAAAAGCCUCUAAGCAUCAGGUAACAUCAAAUCGUACCCCAAACCGACACAGGUGGUCAGGUAGAGAAUACCAAGGCGCUUGAGAGAACUCGGGUGAAGGAACUAGGCAAAAUGGUGCCGUAACUUCGGGAGAAGGCACGCUGAUAUGUAGGUGAAGUCCCUCGCGGAUGGAGCUGAAAUCAGUCGAAGAUACCAGCUGGCUGCAACUGUUUAUUAAAAACACAGCACUGUGCAAACACGAAAGUGGACGUAUACGGUGUGACGCCUGCCCGGUGCCGGAAGGUUAAUUGAUGGGGUCAGCGCAAGCGAAGCUCUUGAUCGAAGCCCCGGUAAACGGCGGCCGUAACUAUAACGGUCCUAAGGUAGCGAAAUUCCUUGUCGGGUAAGUUCCGACCUGCACGAAUGGCGUAAUGAUGGCCAGGCUGUCUCCACCCGAGACUCAGUGAAAUUGAACUCGCUGUGAAGAUGCAGUGUACCCGCGGCAAGACGGAAAGACCCCGUGAACCUUUACUAUAGCUUGACACUGAACAUUGAGCCUUGAUGUGUAGGAUAGGUGGGAGGCUUUGAAGUGUGGACGCCAGUCUGCAUGGAGCCGACCUUGAAAUACCACCCUUUAAUGUUUGAUGUUCUAACGUUGACCCGUAAUCCGGGUUGCGGACAGUGUCUGGUGGGUAGUUUGACUGGGGCGGUCUCCUCCUAAAGAGUAACGGAGGAGCACGAAGGUUGGCUAAUCCUGGUCGGACAUCAGGAGGUUAGUGCAAUGGCAUAAGCCAGCUUGACUGCGAGCGUGACGGCGCGAGCAGGUGCGAAAGCAGGUCAUAGUGAUCCGGUGGUUCUGAAUGGAAGGGCCAUCGCUCAACGGAUAAAAGGUACUCCGGGGAUAACAGGCUGAUACCGCCCAAGAGUUCAUAUCGACGGCGGUGUUUGGCACCUCGAUGUCGGCUCAUCACAUCCUGGGGCUGAAGUAGGUCCCAAGGGUAUGGCUGUUCGCCAUUUAAAGUGGUACGCGAGCUGGGUUUAGAACGUCGUGAGACAGUUCGGUCCCUAUCUGCCGUGGGCGCUGGAGAACUGAGGGGGGCUGCUCCUAGUACGAGAGGACCGGAGUGGACGCAUCACUGGUGUUCGGGUUGUCAUGCCAAUGGCACUGCCCGGUAGCUAAAUGCGGAAGAGAUAAGUGCUGAAAGCAUCUAAGCACGAAACUUGCCCCGAGAUGAGUUCUCCCUGACUCCUUGAGAGUCCUGAAGGAACGUUGAAGACGACGACGUUGAUAGGCCGGGUGUGUAAGCGCAGCGAUGCGUUGAGCUAACCGGUACUAAUGAACCGUGAGGCUUAACCU